rnacentral:misc_RNA from 1 species
GCAAAGACAGGGAGGGUACUUUUGGCGUAUUUGAGCUUAGAAGACUAGAACUUGCGUGCG